ACCUUGGUGGCUCAGUCAGUUGAGCGUCUGACUUUGGCUCAGGUCAUGAUUUCAUGGUUUGUGGGUUCGAGCCCCACAUUGGGCC
rnacentral:tRNA from 1 species